rnacentral:misc_RNA from 1 species
AUUUGCUCCCCGUCCGUCGAUGGUCUUGUAGUUGUUGAUAAUAAGCUCGUGCUUUAGCUUUAUAACCAUGUCUGCUGCAAACACGAUCCAAAGAGGCUCCUCUUGAACUACGGCGUGACGGAGCGUGCCCGGAAUUGGGUUGACUGUGUCUCUGUCGGAGGAGUCUCUAACUACGUAGAUCUGACCUCCUUUCCCACCCAUUGCACUCUGACCGAAACCAAUGGAGCAGUCUGCUAGCCUUUGCCGGUCUUUGGCCCAGUUUGGGUCGCAUUGCCAGCAAUCAUCUAUUGGGUUUCCUGUACUGUGACAUUUGCUAUCUCUUACAAUUGUCUGGAAUAGUAAUCUGGACUCAUUAACCCUCCUGUGAAG